CACAGCUCGAGUACCUGACAGAAUGAUGGGCUCCACCUCGUUGUACUCCCUCAGAACCCACAGAAACAGACGAGCCAGAUCCAGAGAAUAGAUGAACUGCCGCAGAGCGCGACCUGAACCCCAGACCUGCAGAGGUACGUCUUGUGGAUCAAUCCCGGCAUCACGUGACCGUCCUCAAUGUUGUAGUUGUCAUGGGGUCCAAACAUGUUGGUGGGGAUGACGGAUGUGUAUUUCAAACCGUACUGCUGAAAUAACGCCCUAAUAGACAAACACACACAAGACAAGGAAUAUCCAUGUUUCUCCUGCUUUCUCUCCGCCCUCCUGUUUCACCACCCGCUCUAUCGCUCGCCCCACCAGCCCACUGCCGCCCGUCACCAACACACGCAUCGGCCCAACUGACCCGUCCAUCUGCCAGACAGAGAGAGAUGGGGUUUGAUGAACACUUAAGAGGAUACGAUCACAUCACCUUCAAAGCCCAACGCUUCAACCACAGAGUCCGCAGCAAACUUUAUGGACAAUUCAUCCUCCUCCCCGAC